ACCCAGGUGGUGAGGUUGAAUAGUCACGCCUCUUACCUUUGUCUCAGGCUGUUGUUAACCUUACCAAAGUUUCACGGGGUAUUACUUGUCAAGUUCUACUUGCGCUUUAGACGAUGCACACGUACCAGUGAUGAUAUUCCUUAAUUGAUAAUUUGCGCAGUGUUUGUCACCCGCAGCCAUGUUGAUUGAUGGGCCGAAGUUACCAGCUUGCAUUAAGCUAUUGAUAUAGUGGAAACGGGUUACUAAUUUUGCGGCUAUGGGUACUAUUCCUCAAGCAAGUCAAGUGGUUGAGGUACCGUUGGUUAGUUCAUAAACAAGUCAGGUUGAGGUUAGAAUUGGUCUGGUCAUAAUAUUGAACAUUCAUGUAAUAGGAGAGGGACAUAAAUUAUUCCUGAACAAUUUUCCUGCCCAGAAGGGUUCCAAACAUUGUAAGCCAUUGUGUGUUGUGCAGCCCCACGCGUCCCAGGCUGCCCCACACCAGUGUUUACAUCCGCUGAUCAUUGUACUACUUGCCACCUCCCUAAGGGGGCCCCCACUUGGCAACUCCCCCAGGGAUGCGUACUAAAAAAUCUGGUAAAUAUGUAUUUGUGACCUCCCUAGAGAGGGACUCGGUCCCCCCUGAAGUAGAGGGUAUCCCUAAAAAAUCCAAACAAGUGGAGGCUCCACCUUAUAAUAAAGAAAACUCCCUCAGAUAUUCCCUAGACAAGUACCACACCAUUAGGAGAAAAUCCCUGGUGAAUAUUAAGACAAAUUGCACUGGUGGGAGCCUCAGUGUCAAGUGUGUGACUUCAAUGAGGUGCUGCCUCAGACCCAGAGGACAGCGAGGGAUGUCUAAACUGAUCUGAGACUCAUGUCAACGGUGGAGGCGGCUGAGGAGGGGCGGCUCAUGUCUGAGUUGGGAUGGCGUUUGGAGGAAGACAUACCAGCCGAGGCGUAGCGGCCCCUCACGGACUCCCCUCUGCUCUUCCCCGACAGACUAUUGCUGCGGGUGAGGUCGCGCUCGCUCAGGGCUCGGGUAGGGAGGGUGUUCCGCCUGCCACGCCACAACAACACAUGAAGCAACAGGAGGCAUGGAGAGAGGCACACAGGGAUGCAUCAGCAACUCGACAAACAGGGGAGGAUAAACUGACGGUUCACACAUAUGGAAGUCUACACAAGGACGAGCAAACAGGUAUGUGACAUGAUUUAUAUUAAACUUUUUUUUUUAGAUUUUAAUUCAUACUGAGCUGAUUAAGACAUAAAUAUUACUAUUUAUACUCAUGCAAAAGUCAGUUUUUCACUUCGAUUAAAUUUCAUGGUGCCAACCAUAGAAUGAAUAUUACUUUUUUUACAGCUGAAAUUUGAGGAACACAAAACAUAAAACUAAGGGGGAGAAGGAUCUAUUAGCUAUGCCUGACUUUUGCCUAAGUAUAUUUGGUCUGUACAUAACGUUCCUUAUAGAUUAAAAAAAAAAUGUCUGUACAAGAAAAUACGGUUGACAGGAUAUACAAGAACAAGAAUCUGGAAGUCAACAUUCUCUUCAUGCAAGUGCUGUGAUAGAUCGAGUAACAUUAAUGGAAAAGUAAUCUCAUAGGGACACAACAUUGAUGAUGUAAUGCCAGGAAGUUUAGGUUAAGAGUGGGAUGUACAAAAGGAUCACAAAAGUAAAUAUAAGUAUACAUAUGUAAGUAUUAAGUAUGUCCCCCCCCCCCCCUUUUGGCCUUUAGACUUCCACAUUCCGUCACAUGGUGUAAUAUCACGUCAGCCCCCCAUAGGUUAAGAGUGGAAUGUACAAUGACGCUAAAGUGCUGAGGGAGAUUAUCAGUGAAAUAGAUCAUAGGAUGGACAAGUGAUGGAGAGAAUUUGUAGGCAAGGGAUUGAGUGCAUGGAUAGGAAGAGCCAGAACAGGGAGAGUUAAAGGCCUUUCACCCAUGGCCACCCCCCUUAGAGUAAAGUUUCUGAGAGGGAACGGAAUGUCAGGGAUAAAAGAUAGAUUAGACAGGAUGCAUUUUACUGAUCAGUGCUGGCUCUUCUCAGUCACAAGGUGGUUUGGUUUUGAAGUCUGUAAUUUAUUUAUUGGAAUACAUAACUUCCAAUAAAUAAAUUGGACAUAAAAGCCAAACCAACUUGUGUCUGAGGAGAGGAAAGGGCAUUGAUCAGUAAGAUGCAGCCUGUCUGUUCCAUGUCUCUGCUGCUCUUGUUCAUCUCUCUCUCUCUGACACACACGCACGCACGCACGCACGCACCUCAGUCACAUGCCUCCCAGCCACAUAAAUGACCCUGUGCCCCUUCCCCUCUCAUACUAAAAUCAACUGUAGAAUUAAUUGCACUAAUAUUCAGAUCAAAACAAUAAUGUGGGACUUUCCAAACUCUGAGUAAGUGGAGGACAGCAGUGUGUCAUCUUAUAUGCUGUGCAGAGCAAUUACCACUGGACAGAAUGAAGUAAUUUCCUGCAAUGAACUUUUGAUUCACCGACUAAUAUUUCAAUGAACGUUGUGUGUAUUAAAGUGAUCUCUGUAUUUCUAUGUGAUGCUUAUGUAAAGCUUUCUUAAUUUCCAAUGAUCAAUGUCACGCUUGUAAAUGAAUAAACCGCAUGCAGUUAA